AUCCAAACAUGAAUGUUUUGCAAUAUGCAUGAUAUAUAUAUAAGACAUCCAUGUGUGCUAAUUAUAAUAGAUAUUUAUCUCAUUAAUUUACAGAUUGAACAAAAGUGCUAUAUUCUAAUUGUCAAACCAAACAGACAUUUUAGAUCGAUAGGGUGAUUUAGUAUACUGUAUAAAUUAUUGAUAAUGUUUGCCGACAUCAAUCUAUCGAAACAGUGUCAAAACGUUGCCAAAAUACAUGGUCUUAGAGAAAUAACGUUUGUACUUAUACAAUGUUUGCAGUGACAAAUUGUGUGAUGUACAAUAUUACAUUUCCUGUUUUAUUUACGAGAAUUUAACAUCGAUAAACUACUGUCGCUUCAAUUCAUCAUACAAUGGUUAUAAUUUCUACUUUUCCCGAGGAUUUCCAACCCGCUAGCUCAUGUGCAUACCAUAUACAAGAAGAAGAAUAUAUACAUUUAUUCUCACGUCGUCAAAGAUAUGGUGGCAUUUGGAUGGUGUCAAUUACACACCAACCCGAAAUAAAUAGAUGACCCGGGUUCAUUUUGAAAUAUUUCAUGAAACCAUUUUUGUUUUCAUUUUCGAAUUCCUCUUUGUGAACAAGUUUAUGUAUACUAGGUCAUAUAAUGUACAACUUACUAAUACAUUAGAUCCCGGCAAUGUUUAGUAAUUUUAAAACCCUGCACAAACUAAUUUUAGAAAUAGCAAGUAAAUGGAUUGUCAAUUAAGUUAAAUAUUAAAUAAAAUUAACACGCUAUUUCUGAUGAAGUAGUAUUGUAACUUAGAACUAAUAGACCAAUCGUUUAUAUUAUCCUGGUCGUUUUUUAACUUCUAAUUAACACAUAAUAAUGUUGAAAACGUUGAAGUACAUUUGUAUACUAAAAGUAGAUGUGUUUUUGGGGGUACACACUUUCAAUAGCUUUUUUUUCUAUCUAAAUCACGAUGAAAACAAAUUUUAUUUCCAUUCAAUGAUAUCAAAUCUUCUUAUCAAAGUUUAUUUCAAACUGCGGAAAUUUCAAAACUGUUGACAAAAAUUGUUGCGGGAAAUUAAUGUGAGUUAAACAUAUCGUGGAAGAUCAUUGCAUACAAAGACUAUCAAUUGUCAAGUGUUAGUAACCUAUAAUAAACUACUUAUUCAAAAGUCAAUUGAGGGUUUUAAAUUCUCUGAUUCAAAUCGUAUCCUUGUUAUUCAACCUCAAAUAUUUCAUCGAUAACAUACCAUGUUCGUCAUCUUAAAUACUGUUUCUUUUGGUUGAAAAAAGAUAGAUCUAUUCUUAAUACACUACACUUUUACGGUCAAUUGGAAAUACACAUUAUCAUGAUAAUAUAAUACUGCACCUGCACACAGAUUGUAUAAUAUGUCUACCGCCGGUUUUUUGUUCAGGGGUUUGCAUGAUUAAGGAUGUAUUCUUCUGACAUUUCAGUCUCGUUGAAAUCUCAUUCUGGAAUAAUUUCCAAAACGUGUUAUACAAAUGGAAAAUAUCGUUGAAUUUAAAUAAUAUCAUAAUCAGACUUAAUUCUGUAAAAAAAAAGUGUAUUUCCAAUAAGUAGUUGUUUCGAAAUAAAAUUUCAAAUUUUAUGACCAAUCAAGUCAGUCUCAUUAGCCAAAAUGUUGCGAAAAUGAUUGAGGGGUACAAGAAAUGAUUUUACCAGAUACAUGAACAUCCCAUAUAACUUUUUUCUUUUCAAAUUUCUUAAAUAUGUAUUUUUACAAUCAUUUAAAGCAAAGAAGUUGAAAUAAUAUGCUUUUUGUUAAAAAAAAAGAGAAAUCCCAAAUUUACAAAUUUGACAACAUGGUAAAUUUGACCGGAGAAAGCAUCAAAACUUUAUAAAACUUUCUUAAUAAAUCUAUUCAGAUUGGUCCACCUCAUCUUGUGUGCAAGUAUGAAAAAAAGUUUAAUUGUGAAACUGUAUUCUUUUUCAUGAUAAUAGCCCAAAAAUGAGUAAAAAUUGAUGAAAAGUGGAAAAAUUAUCAAAAAUGGGUAAUUUCAACUGGCUUUUCAAAAAUAGAAGUGCACCACCAUAUGAAUUUUUCUUCACCAAAAUUUUUUUUUACAGUCUUACAAACCCAAAAAUUCAGGUUAAGAAAACAAGUUUAAUUCUAGAAAUUGUUGGCUCCUCAGAGGUGUACAUCCUUAAAUGCAGAAUCGUAAGGUUUAUGCAUUCGUCUUAUAAACACCCAUCUAAUAAGUUUUUACAGGUUUGAAAUAAUUUUAUUGCGUAAUUUUUUUUCGAAAAAGUUCGAAUUUGACACUGUUUUUAUAUAUAUAUAUAUUUUUAUAUUUGAUUCAAAUGUAACUAUUUUAUAUAGUUCAUACGUUUUCAGUUCCAUUUCAUCUCAAUAAAUCAUAUUUCAGCUUGAUCAUAUAAUGUGAAAGGAUAAGUUGUAUGGCUGUCAAUCAGGGCCCGUUUGUUCAACUUGUCGUUAAUUUAACGUAAGCGUAAAAUGUAACGUGUCGUUAAAAUCUCUAACGUGUCGUUACUUAACCCAUGGUUAAAAUGGUGUUGUUCAACGUGGUUUAAUAUUUUAACCACUCUUUGAAUAUUUAACUAAAGUUAAGAGAAUAUGUUUGUUACCCACAAUGCAUUGGUUUGUUAAUAUUUAUUUCAACAUGGCUGACAUUUUUUCUGCUAAAAAACAAAGUGACAGAAAACAUAACUUUACUCAAGAAGAAGUAAAUGUUAUACAAGAUCAAGUACAAACAAAUUACAAAGUGUUAAAUGAAAAGUUUGGGGAUGGAGUUAACAAUUCCAGAAAGACUGCUGUCUGGUUCAGGAUUUCUAUCUAGGUCAGUGCUCUGGGUGUUGCCAACAGGUCUACCAAAAACUGUAAAGACAUGUGGGCUAACACCAAGAAGGAGACUAAAAAGGUGUUUAGCAAAUUGAAAAAAGAGCAGAGGGCUACUGGUGGUGGUCCACAGCUAAAAAAAUUGAAUCUUGCCAUAGAAAGGACAAUAGACCUUUGCAAAGACUCAGCUUCUUUCAAAGGUUUUGAAGGAGUUGAAAGUGUACUUGUUGACAACUCAGGUACAUUGCCAGAGGAGAGUGCAACAAAUUUCCAUGACCUGUUUGAUACCCCUCCAAGCCACCCACUUUCCCUAUCUGGAUCUGAUUCCAUUCAUCAGCCAUUACCACUUCUACCACUUCUAUCAGCUGUAAAUAUCCAGAUGCAAUGCCCAGCAGCUGCAGUAGUUGAGCUGGGGACUCUAACAACACAGAAAGCAGUAAAUUCAAAGAAGAGGAAAGCAACUGCUGAUGAUGUUUAUGAGCUAAAAUUAAAAUUUCACAAUUGCAUUUAUUUUAGAAAUAAUCCAGAAUAAUUUAGAAACGAUUGACAUACCAUUGUCUUAUAAUGAAUGACUCGGUGGUAGGUUCAAGACUGUCAUAACUCGGAAAAAUGAAAAGGUAAAAAUCCAUUAUCAACACUAAGAAAAAUUUACCUUUUGGAUCCCCAUCGAUUUGUUUGUAUCUAUAGGCAAUGAUGUGAGACCGUAAAUUGAUCUUGAAUUACACUUAAUCAACAUUUCAUUUUUAAAUGUUGCAAUUUUCAUCUUUAUGAAAAUCGUCCAAUAAAAAUAAUUUAAAUUUAUGGUCUUCCAGCCUCUGGACAAAGCAUAUGUCCAACAGGUCAUACACUAUAUAUGGAACUCUCAAUUUCAUGCAAUACUUCUGUAAAUUCCACAAGAGUUGUACGGUAUACAGACACAUAUAAAGAUAUACCGGUAUGUUAAAAAUAUAGAGAUCUACAUGUAUCAUUUUCAUUUCAGAUCCUGUAUUUGAAGGGAGAAAUGGCAAAGCAGACUAAAGAGAUGAGGAAAUUAGAUCUUCAGAUAGAGUUGCUGGAAGAAAUGAAACGAGACAAAGAGAAUACUCAACUAACAUUUUCUCAACUUUCAAUGAAUUAAAUUAUUUAUUUUUCUUAUCAAUCAACAAAUAUUUGCCAGAAAAAAAUGCCUGUGUACGGUACCAAGUCACAAAUGAUGUUUUGGAUUCAAUUUCUUCGUUCAAUAAUAUUUUGCAUUUUUUAAUUUUGAUAUAUAUAUAUAUAUACCACUUUUGAGUCUCCUUGUGUUAUUGUUUUUGGUGUAUUCGAGACAAUUGAAUUUUACAAUUUG